GAGAGACAGCAGUUAGAGGAUGCUGAGCACAGACGCAAUGAAUGGCGGCAAAACAUCAAGGAUAGAGGAACGACCAAGAGCAACGACAGCUCAAAAGAAGUCAAUUUUAAGAACCCAUUCAGGCCAAUCUCAGAGUUUUUUAAAGAAUCUGAUGACACUAAAGUUAUUAAAAAUGGAUCAGUUGGCAAGGCUUCCUCAUCAAAAAAUUCUCAUCUUCAGACAGUUAAUGUGGUUGUGGAGAGAAACGGCAUAUUGCCUCCAGUUGAUUCCUCCAACUCAAGUAACUUCCUAUGGAACACGGAAAACAAAAAUUCUCAUCUCACGAUACCCAGCACUGAGGAUAAAGAUGAUUUGGAUGUAUUUAUGCAAAAGCACUUCAACCUACUGAUGAUGUAGUCUCCAAUUCACCUGACUUGUCUGUUUUCACGAUAAGUGGAAGAGAUGUUCCAUCAGAUUCAACGGCGGAAAUGCAGCCUGAUGAACGAAUGCACUCGGCUGAAGACUCGGAUCACAUUAUAAAUAAAUCUGGCAGGACGCUCUUCCCUUUUCGGCGUGUGAAUAAAACAGCUCCAGCACCAUUGGAUACUUUAUCAGCCAAAAGAAAUUCAUCUACUGAACCUCAGAGAGGGAAUGAAGAUAAUGUAUCCAAAAAUCAAAAUAUUUUAACCACUUGCCAACUUGAGCUUGCUCCAAUUAUCAGCAGACAAGCUGAGACAAACCUUGAUCACAGAAUACCAGGUGAUACGGUUGAAAUCCACAGCAGAGUAAAAGGCAUUUUUACCCGAAAUAAACCAAUAACAUCAUCAACAGAAUGCAUUUUAACCGACUCCGACAGUGCUGAUGUUGUCAUGUAA
rnacentral:lncRNA from 1 species